rnacentral:misc_RNA from 1 species
GAUGAAGAACGCAGCGAACGUGCGAAACGUAAUGUGAAUUGCAGAAUUCAGUGAAUCAUCGAAUCUUUGAACGCACAUUGCGCCCUCUGGUAUUCCGGGGGGCAUGCCUGUUCGAGCGUCAUUAUAACCACUCAAGCUCUCGCUUGGUAUUGGGGUUCGCGGUUUCGCGGCCCCUAAAAUCAGUGGCGGUGCCUGUCGGCUCUACGCGUAGUAAUACUCCUCGCGAUUGAGUCCGGUAGGUCUACUUGCCAGCAACCCCUAAUUUUUUUAAGGUUGACCUCGGAUCAGGUAGGGAUACCCGCUGAACUUAAGCAUAUCAAUAAGCGGAGGA